rnacentral:rRNA from 1 species
UUCCAGACUCCUACGGGAGGCAGCAGUGGGGAAUAUUGCACAAUGGGGGGAACCCUGAUGCAGCAACGCCGCGUGGGUGAAGAAGUACUUCGGUAUGUAAAGCCCUGUCAGCAGGGAAGAAAAUGACGGUACCUGACCAAGAAGCCCCGGCUAACUACGUGCCAGCAGCCGCGGUAAUACGUAGGGGGCAAGCGUUAUCCGGAUUUACUGGGUGUAAAGGGAGCGUAGACGGCAAGGCAAGUCUGGAGUGAAAGCCCGUGGCUCAACCACGGGACUGCUUUGGAAACUGUGUUGCUGGAGUGCAGGAGGGGUAAGCGGAAUUCCUAGUGUAGCGGUGAAAUGCGUAGAUAUUAGGAGGAACACCGGUGGCGAAGGCGGCUUACUGGACUGUAACUGACGUUGAGGCUCGAAGGCGUGGGGAGCAAACAGGAUUAGAUACCCUGGUAAUC